rnacentral:rRNA from 1 species
GAUGAACGCUGGCGGCGUGCCUAAUACAUGCCAGUCGAGCGAACAGACGAGGAGCUUGCUCCUCUGACGUUAGCGGCGGACGGGUGAGUAACACGUGGAUAACCUACCUAUAAGACUGGGAUAACUUCGGGAAACCGGAGCUAAUACCGGAUAAUAUAUUGAACCGCAUGGGUCAAUAGUGAAAGACGGUUUUGCUGUCAGUUAUAGAUGGAUCCGCGCUGCAUUAGGUAGUUGGGAAGGUAACGGCUUAUCAAGGCUACGAUGCGUAGCCGAACUGAGAGGGUGAUCGGCCACACUGGAACUGAGACACGCUCCAGACGCCUACGGGAGGCAGCAGUAGCGAAUCUUCCGCAAUGGGCGAAAGCCUGACGGAGCAACGCCGCGUGAGUGAUGAAGGUCUUCGGAUCGUAAAACUCUGUUAUUAGGGAAGAACAAAUGUGUCAGUAACUAUGCACGUCUUGACGGUACCUAAUCAGAAAGCCACGGCUAACUACGUG